GAUGAACGCUGGCGGCGUGCCUAAUACAUGCAAGUCGAGCGAACAGACGAGGAGCUUGCUCCUCUGACGUUAGCGGCGGACGGGUGAGUAACACGUGGAUAACCUACCUAUAAUACUGGGAUAACUUCGGGAAACCGGAGCUAAUACCGGAUAAUAUAUUGAACCGCAUGGUUCAAUAGUUAAAUACGGUUUUUCUUUCCCUUAUAGAUGGAUCCGCGCCGCAUUAGCUAGUUGGUAAGUUAACGGCUUACCAAGGCAACGAUGCGUAGCCGACCUGAGAGGGUGAUCGGCCACACUGGAAGUGAGACACGGUCCAGACACCGACGGGAGGCAGCAGUAGGGAAUAUUCCGCAAUGGGCGAAAGCCUGACGGAGCAACGCCGCGUGAGUGAUGAAGGUCUUCGGAUCGUAAAACUCUGUUAUUAGGGAAGAACAAAUGUGUAAGUAACUAUGCACGUAUUGACGGUACCUAAUCAGAAAGCCACGGCUAACUACGUG
rnacentral:rRNA from 1 species